GAGAAACUGUGUUUCAAUUGAAUCUUGAAGGGAGCAGUUAGGAAAAGUCCAGUUGCUUGAACUUCACUUCCUUCUCUGGCUGUUGAAUGAGAAGUUUCAUUGUUGCGAUAUAACCAGUGCCUACUAAUCCUUAGACAUCUUGGUGAGAAACAACUUCUUCCCUUCUUCCUACCUGAUGCAGUGAUGACUGCUGCACCAAUAUGACAGCAAGAAUCUGUUGGUCACCCAAGUAAACCUGAAAUGGACUUUAUCCCUUUCCCUUAAUCCAAGUCACUGAAGGUGAUCUUGGAAAAAGGACUUUCCAACCCUGUUGGUAAUCUCGUAAAGAGUUCACCAGUUCCAGAAUUAAGAAACAUGUUGCCCAGAAGAUCAGAAAAGACAAUCACUUCCAGGAUGAUUCAGAUGAGGAAACUGAGGCAAACAGGAUUGAAUGACUUAUCCAGGAUCAAACAACUAGAAAGUGUCUGAGGCCAGAGGCCAGAUUUGAACUUCAAAAGAUAAGGCUUCCUGAUCCCACACUCAGUGUUCCAUGUACUGUACCUCUUAGCUGUCCCCAUUAGCAUGUUCAUUCAUUUGCCUACUGAAUUUUCCUAAGAAGUUAUUUUUUUCAUGUAAUUUCCCCAGUUCAUAUAUGUUUAAUGGGCCUCCAAGCUUAAGUCCAAAAUUAUUGGUACUAAAGAUUCAGCAUAGUUUAAAAUCA
rnacentral:lncRNA from 1 species